rnacentral:rRNA from 1 species
UACGGAGGAUGCAAGCGUUAUCCGGAAUUAUUGGGCGUAAAGGGUCCGCAGGUGGUCGUUCAAGUCUGUUGUUAAAGCGUGGAGCUUAACUCCAUAUCGGCAAUGGAAACUGAGUGACUAGAGUACAGUAGGGGUUGCGGGAAUUCCCAGUGUAGCGGUGAAAUGCGUAGAUAUUGGGAAGAACACCAGCGGCGAAAGCGCGCAACUGGGCUGAGACUGACACUGAGGGACGAAAGCUAGGGGAGCGAAAGGG